UUUGGAUUUAAAAGUUUAAACNUGAGUAGUAUUAGGUAUGAUCUUGAAACUUAAAGAAUUUGGCGGUAUUUUAGUCUGGUUAGAGGAAUCUGUUCCGUUAUCGAUAAUCCGCGUUKAACCUUACUCAAUAAUAUUUAAUAUGUAUAUCGCCGUUUAUUUGAAAAUCUUUUUAGAGUUGUUAUUUUCUUUAAAUUAGAAUUAAUUUUAUUUCAGGUCAAGGUGCAGUUGAUGAUUGAGUGGUAAUGGAUUACAUUAUUUUUGAAAUAUACGAAUUGUGAUUUGAAAUAUUUCAUGAAGGAGGAUUUAAUAGUAAUUGACAAUAAGAAUAUUUUUUUGAUAUUAGCUCUAGGAUGUGC
rnacentral:rRNA from 1 species